rnacentral:rRNA from 1 species
GUGAACGCUGGCGGCGUGCCUAAGACAUGCAAGUCGUACGAGAAAGUGGCUUCGGCCAUGAGUACAGUGGCGCACGGGUGAGUAGCACUUGGGUAACAUGCCCUUCUGAGGGGGAUAACCGGAGGAAACUCUGGCUAAUACCGCGUACGUCGGUAGGAACUGCGGUUCUUAUCGAGAAAGCCGUAAGGCGCAGAAGGAGUGGCCCGAGUCUCAUUAGCUUGUUGGUAGGGUAGCGGCCUACCAAGGCAGUGAUGGGUAGCUGGUCUGAGAGGAUGAUCAGCCACACUGGUACUGGAACACGGACCAGACUCCUACGGGAGGCAGCAGUUAGGAAUCUUGCGCAAUGGGGGAAACCCUGACGCAGCAACGCCGCGUGAGUGAGGAAGGCCUUCGGGUUGUAAAGCUCUUUCGACAGGGAAGAAAAAAAUGACGGUACCUGUAGAAGAAGCACCGGCUAACUCCGU